rnacentral:lncRNA from 1 species
GGGAGCCCCCUGCAAGUCAGCCUCCCCCUCCCCCCACCAGCAUCCACCACCACAGCCCGUUCUCGUCUCUUUGAUUUCCGCCUUCCUGCGGUGGAUCAGAGCUGUUGAUUUGAAUCAGAAUUCAAAGCAUGCCCUGGACGGUGCGUCAACGGGCGGUUCCCAGGCAGAAGGCAGGUGGACUCUCCAUGGCAGUGAUUUCCCCCUCUUGUCAUCGGCCUGUUGUCCCUGUUGGCUUGGGGACAGUGAUUCUCUGGAUACCCACGUUUUCAGUAAAUUGUUUUUCCCCGAAGAGGGACCCUCGUCCGCAGGAACUAGGUGAAAGCAAGAUCAUUGCGCCUGUGCGGCCCCAGCCCCGCCACGCGGACGCCUCGGGAUCUCCAGGGCCUGAGUGGCCGAGUGGGCCAGGGCCGUGAAAUGCUGACCCCGCUUACCCUUCUCGGUGUGGCGUGUCUCUGAACCCCAGCCCCCCGCCGGCCUUGGGGAGCCUGCCUGCAGCCCUGGUUCCCUUUUAACAGCCACACGGUGUUAUGCAGGCACUGAGCCCAGAGCCCCCCGCACCCUGUUGUCCUAAUUGGAUGCGUCAAAGAGCUGUGUUGUUUUAAAGCGACUGAAUCCUUCCUUCGCCUCCUUCGUGUGCCAGUAUAAUCGUGUCUUUUUAAUUGUUUUAAGCAAUGUUUACUUUGGAUUUAUGGAUGUUAAGUAAAAGCCACUAAAACCCUGGCCGUGUUGUCGCCCGGCUGACCGCGGGAAGCUGACACUUUCAUUUGCCCUGUGGGCCAGCCGGACGUCGCCUAAGCCAGGGACACGAGUUGGGAAAACGCCAUGUGGUGUGGACAGUGUGCUGUUAUUUAUUCCAAUAAAGAACUCGCGAGCACGGGCUGUCUGCUGCCU